UACGGAGGGUGCAAGCGUUAUCCGGAAUCACUGGGUUUAAAGGGUGCGUAGGCGGUGGCGUAAGUCAGUUGUGAAAUUCCCCGGCUUAACCGGCGGGACUGCGAUUGAUACUGCGUUACUUGAAUCAGGUUGAGGUAGGCGGAAUGUGACAUGUAGCGGUGAAAUGCUUAGAUAUGUCAUAGAACACCAAUUGCGAAGGCAGCUUACUACACAGUAAUUGACACUGAGGCACGAAAGCGUGGGGAUCAAACAGG
rnacentral:rRNA from 1 species